CGCAUUGCAUUAUUGGUUACUAGGGGAGGCUAGGGAUAGCAAGCCGGUAAUUAAUAAUAGGCUUUUUUCACCAAGGGAUUGGGUUAAGGGUAAAUAAGAAAGUGUGCAUGGCAAUUAGAUAAAUAAGUGAAGUAAAUAAGAAGAGUAGAUAUAUGAGAGUGGAUAAGAUUAAAUUGUAAACCUCAACAACAUCAUUCAUUCAUAGUUUCUCAAAACUAAUUGAAUCAACU
rnacentral:lncRNA from 1 species